rnacentral:rRNA from 1 species
AACGAACGCUGGCGGCAUGCCUAACACAUGCAAGUCGAACGAGACCUUCGGGUCUAGUGGCGCACGGGUGCGUAACGCGUGGGAACCUGCCCUUAGGUUCGGAAUAACUCCCCGAAUGGGGUGCUAAUACCGGAUAAUGUCUUCGGACCAAAGAUUUAUCGCCUUUGGAUGGGCCCGCGUUGGAUUAGCUAGUUGGUAGGGUAAAAGCCUACCAAGGCGACGAUCCAUAGCUGGUCUGAGAGGAUGAUCAGCCACACUGGGACUGAGACACGGCCCAGACUCCUACGGGAGGCAGCAGUGGGGAAUAUUGGACAAUGGGCGAAAGCCUGAUCCAGCAAUGACGCGUGAGUGAUGAAGGCCUUAGGGUUGUAAAGCUCUUUUACCCGGGAUGAUAAUGACAGUACCGGGAGAAUAAGCUCCGGCUAACUCCGUG